UUAGGAAUCUUGCGCAAUGGACGAAAGUCUGACGCAGCGACGCCGCGUGCGGGAUGAAGGCCCUCGGGUUGUAAACCGCUUUCAGCAGGGACGAAAUUGACGGUACCUGCAGAAGAAGCCCCGGCCAACUACGUGCCAGCAGCCGCGGUAAUACGUAGGGGGCAAGCGUUGUCCGGAUUUAUUGGGCGUAAAGAGCUCGUAGGUGGUUCGGUAAGUCGGAUGUGAAAUCUCCAGGCUCAACCUGGAGGGGUCAUUCGAUACUGCCGUGACUAGAGUUCGGUAGGGGAGUGUGGAAUUCCUGGUGGAGCGGUGAAAUGCGCAGAUAUCAGGAGGAACACCCGUAGCGAAGGCGGCACUCUGGGCCGAUACUGACACUGAGGAGCGAAAGCGUGGGGAGCGAACAGGAUUAGAUACCCUGGUAGUCCACGCCGUAAACGUUGGGCACUAGGUGUGGGACUCUAUCGACGGGUUCCGUGCCGUAGCUAACGCAUUAAGUGCCCCGCCUGGGGAGUACGGCCGCAAGGCUAA
rnacentral:rRNA from 1 species